UCAGAGAGAGAGAGAGAGAGAGAGAGAGCGCUUGAACAAAGGAGACGGCGACGGCCACAGAGCUUUCACGCGACGGCAAGGGAGCUUCCUACAACGGUGACACAGCUUCCUAGGACGGUGACGGAGAUUCCUACGACAGCGACACAGCUCCUGCGACGGCGACGGAGCUUCCACGGCGCGACACCAGCGAACAGAGAGAAAGCACGCUCGAGCAGAGGAGAGGAGAUCCAGUGUCUGUGGGUUCCGUGGGGAUGUGGGGUUGUGGUGGUUGCAGUGGAUGCGGCGGCUAGUCCGCUAGGGUUUCUUUCUAUUCUUUCAGCUUUGAUUUUUUGAGAGAGAGAGAUGAUUGG